CUAAACUAGCUACUUCGAGUUCCAAGCUCUAUAAAGUAUCAGUUGUGGAGACAAGGAUAGCUCCUAGUCCGGGUAACCUCUCAAUCUAUCUAAUUCAUUAUACCAUUUGGGAUAUCUUUCUCCUACAACAUGCAAUUAUAGACCUAUUUCUUUCAGUUUGUUUAUAAUUGUUUUCUUCAAUUGUUGAAAUCUUUACUGUUUCUUUCCAUCCAAACAUCGUAGAUUGUGGCUGCAAAUAUGGAGGCAAUAAUGACAACUCUUGGGUGUUUGCAUCUUGUUAUGUUUGCCAGUCAUGCUAGUUCUUCAUUCCAUGGUCUCACUUGCCUACAUUCAUGUCCAUUGAAGCAGUUUUAGCCAUAUAGUCUUGGAGUAGUUGCAUUCAAAGAAUAUGUGACUGAGUGUUUCCUCUACAUCUGUUAAGCAUAGCACACAUUUACAUUACACUUGUAUUCCCGACUUUUCUAUUCUGUUUACUAUUGACAGUCUUCGUUGAAGAGCCAUCCACAGAAUGAAUUAUUGCUUUGGUAUCAUUCAUUUACUAAGAAUCAAGCUUUUCCAAUAAGCUUUAGGAUGUUGAGGGAGAUUGUCCAUAUACGCUUUCUUAAUGCUGAAUUUGGCAUCUAGUGCAUAAGUCUGUAUUCUAUCCAUGUUAGGUGCUAGUCAUUGUCUAGCCUCAAAUAUCUUUCUAACCAACCAGCUUGCUUGUCUUGGUCUUUUCAAUUACUUUAAGUCUAGUUCUGGAUGGUAAGUUUGUUAGAUCAUCAAAACAUAAAGUAAAGUACAUAUGCCCAAGGUACUUGUAACCUAACAAUUUCUCCCUUUUUGAUGAUGACAAACUUAGAAUGGAUAUUCCCCCUGAGAACCAGAUCUCCACAUUGUUCCCCAUACGAAUUAGCCAUAUUCCUCAUAAGAACCGAACCUAAGGAACUGAUCACAACUGGUUCCUCAAGAGUGUCUGGAGAAUCAUCAAAGCUCAAAGUACCAUAGCUUAUCAAUUUCUCCCUUUUUGAUGAUUGACAGACCCAGAAUAAUAUUCCCUAUGAGAAUCAGGUUCCUUAUCUGCACAUAUUACAUCGGGUCCGUACCCAGUAUGUUAAGAACGUUUGUCAUCAUCAAAACAUGACAUAGAGUAACUUAGAUAAAUUUCUUCCUUUUUGAUGAUGACAAGCCUGAUAUUAUUAUUCCUCUUUAGAACAAGAUUUCUCACAUGUUUCCCUUCAGAUCAGACCUAUAAUUAAUAUAUUAUCAGCACGUUCCCCCUGCGAAG
rnacentral:lncRNA from 1 species